rnacentral:rRNA from 2 species
UACACAUGCAAGUCGAACGGCAGCGGGGGGUAGCUUGCUACCCCGCCGGCGAGUGGCGGACGGGUGAGUAAUGCCUGGGGAGCUGCCCAAUCGAGGGGGAUACCAGUUGGAAACGACUGCUAAUACCGCAUACGCCCUGAGGGGGAAAGGUGGGGAUCUUCGGACCUACCGCGAUUGGAUGCACCCAGGUGGGAUUAGCUAGUUGGUGAGGUAACGGCUCACCAAGGCGACGAUCUCUAGCUGGUCUGAGAGGAUGACCAGCCACACUGGAACUGAGACACGGUCCAGACUCCUACGGGAGGCAGCAGUGGGGAAUAUUGCACAAUGGGGGAAACCCUGAUGCAGCCAUGCCGCGUGUGUGAAGAAGGCCUUCGGGUUGUAAAGCACUUUCAGCGAGGAGGAAAGGUUGGCAGCUAAUACCUGUCAGCUGUGACGUUACUCGCAGAAGAAGCACCGGCUAACUCCGUGCCAGCAGCCGCGGUAAUACGGAGGGUGCAAGCGUUAAUCGGAAUUACUGGGCGUAAAGCGCACGCAGGCGGUUGGAUAAGUCAGAUGUGAAAGCCCCGGGCUCAACCUGGGAACUGCAUUUGAAACUGUUCGACUAGAGUCUUGUAGAGGGGGGUAGAAUUCCAGGUGUAGCGGUGAAAUGCGUAGAGAUCUGGAGGAAUACCGGUGGCGAAGGCGGCCCCCUGGACAAAGACUGACGCUCAGGUGC